GUCGAGGAUCUUUUGCAAUGGGCGCAAGCCUGACAAAGCGACGCUGCGUGGAGGAUGAAGGCCUUCGGGUUGUAAACUCCUGUCAUGUGGGAACAACGGGGUGGGAACUAAUACUUCCUGCCAGUGAUGGUACCACAAGAGGAAGCCACGGCCAACUCUGUGCCAGCAGCCGCGGUAAUACAGAGGCGGCGAGCGUUGUUCGGAUUUACUGGGCGUAAAGGGUGCGUAGGUGGUUAUGUAAGUCGGAUGUGAAAUCCCAUGGCCCAGCCAUGGAACGGCAUACGAAACUGCACGACUUGAGUACAGGAAGGGAGAGCGGAAUUCUCGGUGUAGCGGUGAAAUGCGUUGAUAUCGAGAGGAACACCGGUGGCGAAGGCGGCUCUCUGGAAUGUUACUGACACUGAGGCACGAAAGCUGGGGGAGCAAACAGGAUUAGAUACCCGGGUAGUCC
rnacentral:rRNA from 1 species